rnacentral:rRNA from 1 species
CCUUAACCUGCUAAAUAGGUUGAUCAACUUUGGUUGAUAAUAGUCUUCUUAGAGGGACUGUGGAAUUUAAAUCCACGGAAGUUUGAGGCAAUAACAGGUCUGUGAUGCCCUUAGAUGUUCUGGGCCGCACGCGCGCUACACUGAUUAAGUCAGUGAGUUUAUAACCUGGGCUGGAAAGUUUGGGUAAUCUUUUGAAACUUAAUCGUGAUGGGGAUAGUUCAUUGUAAUUAUUGAACUUCAACGAGGAAUUCCUAGUAAGUGUGAGUCAUCAGCUCACGCUGAUUAUGUCCCUGCCCUUUGUACACACCGCCCGUCGCUACUACCGAUUGAAUGGUUUAGUGAGGCCUCGGGAUUGUCAGUCAAACACUUGAAAGGGUGUAGAUUGGUGAGAACUUGGUCAAACUUGAUCAUUUAGAGGAAGUAAAAGUCG